rnacentral:rRNA from 1 species
UGCCCUUGAGGCGUGGCUUCCGGAGCUAACGCGUUAAGUCGACCGCCUGGGGAGUACGGCCGCAAGGUUAAAACUCAAAUGAAUUGACGGGGGCCCGCACAAGCGGUGGAGCAUGUGGUUUAAUUCGAUGCAACGCGAAGAACCUUACCUACUCUUGACAUCCACGGAAUUUAGCAGAGAUGCUUUAGUGCCUUCGGGAACCGUGAGACAGGUGCUGCAUGGCUGUCGUCAGCUCGUGUUGUGAAAUGUUGGGUUAAGUCCCGCAACGAGCGCAACCCUUAUCCUUUGUUGCCAGCACGUAAUGGUGGGAACUCAAGAGAGACUGCCGGUGACAAACCGGAGGAAGGUGGGGAUGAUGUCAAGUCAUCAUGGCCCUUACGAGUAGGGCUACACACGUGCUACAAUGGCAGAUACAAAGUGAAGCGAACUCGCGAGAGCAAGCGGACCACAUAAAGUCUGUCGUAGUCCGGAUUGGAGUCUGCAACUCGACUCCAUGAAGUCGGAAUCGCUAGUAAUCGUAGAUCAGAAUGCUACGGUGAAUACGUUCCCGGGCCUUGUACACACCGCCCGUCACACCAUGGGAGUGGGUUGCAAAAGAAGUAAGUAGCUUAACCUUCGGGAGGGCGCUUACCACUUUGUGAUUCAUGACUGGGGUGAAGUCGUAACAAGGUAACCGUAGGGGAACCUGCGGCUGGAUCACCUCCUU